ACGUAGGGGGCGAGCGUUGUCCGGAAUCACUGGGCGUAAAGCGCACGCAGGCGGAUGCGCGCGUCGGCUGUGAAAUGCACCGGCUCAACCGGUGCACUGCGGUCGAUACGGCGCGUCUGGAGUGCGGGAGAGGGAAGCGGAAUUCCCGGUGUAGCGGUGAAAUGCGUAGAUAUCGGGAGGAACGCCGGUGGCGAAGGCGGCUUCCUGGCCCGCAACUGACGCUCAUGUGCGAAAGCCAGGGGAGCGAACCG
rnacentral:rRNA from 1 species